CCUACGGGACGCAGCAGUAGGGAAUCUUCCACAAUGGACGAAAGUCUGAUGGAGCAACGCCGCGUGAGUGAAGAAGGGUUUCGGCUCGUAAAGCUCUGUUGGUAGUGAAGAAAGAUAGAGGUAGUAACUGGCCUUUAUUUGACGGUAAUUACUUAGAAAGUCACGGCUAACUACGUGCCAGCAGCCGCGGUAAUACGUAGGUGGCAAGCGUUGUCCGGAUUUAUUGGGUGUAAAGGGUGCGUAGACGGGAAUACAAGUUGGUUGUGAAAGCCCUCGGCUUAACUGAGGAACUGCAACCAAAACUA
rnacentral:rRNA from 1 species